GUCGAGAAUUUUUCUCAAUGGGGGAAACCCUGAAGGAGCGACGCCGCGUGGGGGAUGAAUGGCUUCGGCCCGUAAACCCCUGUCAUUUGCGAACAAACCUUUUCAAAUAACACUUGAAAAGCUGAUUGUAGCGAAAGAGGAAGGGACGGCUAACUCUGUGCCAGCAGCCGCGGUAAUACAGAGGUCCCAAGCGUUGUUCGGAUUCACUGGGCGUAAAGGGUGCGUAGGUGGUUGGGUAAGUUUGAUGUGAAAGCUCUGGGCUCAACCCAGAAAUGGCAUUGAAUACUAUUCGACUAGAGGAGUGGAGGGGGGACUGGAAUACUUGGUGUAGCAGUGAAAUGCGUAGAUAUCAAGUGGAACACCAGUGGCGAAGGCGAGUCCCUGGACACUUCCUGACACUGAGGCACGAAAGCUAGGGGAGCAAACAGG
rnacentral:rRNA from 1 species